UUCGCCGCACCCUUCUCGCAGCGGGAGCCACUUCAAGCCCAGGGCCUUGAGAGAGCAGUGUAUUGUUGAGGCCCCCUGGGCACAUACGUAGGGCAGAAUCCAGUUGAGGUAGCUUCAUGAAGCUGUAAGUUGCUGGCGGCGCUCGUGGAGAUCUCCACGAGAUCAGCCUCAGGAGUAAGUUCCCUCGCUUGCCCCUCCUGCCACCUACCGUUCUGGCCGGCUGCCUCUUUCUUCCGUGUCUCCGCGGCCUCGGUGGAGGCCAGUUUCAGGUUCCAGCGGGAGAGCGCCCAGGGCUGCGAAGCAAUAGAGCAGAGAGCAGAAUCCUGUCCCCAAGGCUGGUGACAAAUGACCAGCCCUAGGGAAGAAUCUAGGGAAGUCACACCAUUUUGUCUCUACUUGGAGCACUGGAACUUAUGCUACUCAGUUCUACCAAAGUGGAGAGAAAAGAGUGCCCUGGCUGCCAGAGUUUCCCAUGAGAUCAUAUUGGGAUGGACUAAGUUGUUUAGGCUCUGCUGAAGAGAGCUGUCUUACCCAAAGCUGUACCCUCUUUCCAGGACAGCCAGCUUCCAGUGACUGGUAGUUAUAAGGAGCUUUUAAGUACAGGAAGUAAACAGAGCACAUCAAGAAGUCAAGACGUUUUAACUGCAUUUAUUUAAAAGUUUUAAGGGAUCACACCCGAGAAGUGAAAGAGGAUACCUGGUGAUCUUCAGAGGGACUCUUUUUGAUAGGCUGUCCAGUUGCUUAGAAGAGGAGAGAGGAUCUCCUCCAAACCAGAGCAAGGUUGGAUCAACUUCUUGUGACAGUUUCUCAGAUUUUCCUGUUUUUUGAUGACCUUGACAAUUUUCCAGAGUGCUAGUCAGAUAACUACAAGUUGUUAUUUGGGAAUAAACUUCAAUUUCUAGAGAAUGAACUGGAGAAAAGCAUUUCUGGGAAAAGACUGGUGACCUGGCCAGCCUUGUUCAUCCAGCAGGAAACAUGGCCACUAUAUGGAAAAGAGACAUCUAUUGCAUUGCAAGAAAUCCACAUAGAAGAUGCCAGGUGGCCAGCCUAUUUGAGAAUUAGGCAUGAGAUCAUGAAGGACCAGAAGGUGGGCUGAAUGUUAACUUUGUAAAGCUGAAAGUCAGAUACCAUAGGUGUUCUAGAAUUAGUCCUCAAACAGUAAGUCCAGUUAUCCAAAGAAAGCCACUGAGGAAGAAGGGAACCAGGUCACCUGAACAAACAGUGUUUGUAGGAGAGGAAUGCCUUCCUACAGUCCUGAUUGGAAUAGAAAUUGAACCCUUUCUUAGAGGUGUUAAAAUGUCUUUAUAAAUAGACAUAAAUAAUGUCUGAAUAAAAAAGUGGCAACUUUUAAGGGCCAACAUUUUAGCAAUUAAUAUUUAAAAUUUUGAGAACAGCUCUAUUCACUUCUGGUUAUUGUUCAGGAACCUUUCAGGUUCUAAGAUAGUUUUAUUUAUUGUUAGAGUAACUCUUUAAUGCGUUUCAUGAGAUCCAGCUUUUCUCUGAGUUGUCAUAGAUGUAUUAGUGGUAAUUUAGGAAAACCUUGUUAAGGGCUGCAAGCCACACACUAUGUCCUCAUUUAAUAUCUCCAUUUAAAAACAUUUUGGAUUUAUAUCAAAUGUGGUGCAUUUCAUGGGGAUUAUUCUUCUCUGGUAUGAGGUGAAUAGUUGCAGAUGAGAUCCAUUAUCACGGAGACUUUGUAUGGCCAGUUAUGGCCCAUCCUUCUAAUGAUAAUGCACAACUAGAUAAAGUAGCACAGUAUUUUCUGUAAGAGAAUUUUAUGCUUUUAUAUUUCUACUUAAAUUAAAAGUGAGAAUAUAUCUGAGGUUAAUACCUAUUACUUUAAAAGAACUGCCAAAAAUGCCACUGUUAAAAUUUUCAUAAUGUGUGCAAAAUGACUUUUGAAUUGUAUUCAAAAUUUAUAUCAAAGAUGCUUGAUUUGGGGAAUUUAUGUGUAUUUCCUAUUGCAUUUAAAAAGUCCUUAACUCUAAUUUAAAAAAUAAAAAUGUAUUUAAAGUGUU